UACGUAGGGUGCAAGCGUUGUCCGGAAUUAUUGGGCGUAAAGAGCUCGUAGGCGGUCUGUCGCGUCGGCUGUGAAAUCCCGAGGCUCAACCUCGGGUCUGCAGUCGAUACGGGCAAACUAGAGUAUUGCAGGGGAGACUGGAAUUCCUGGUGUAGCGGUGAAAUGCGCAGAUAUCAGGAGGAACACCGGUGGCGAAGGCGGGUCUCUGGGCAAUAACUGACGCUGAGGAGCGAAAGCGUGGGGAGCGAACGGG
rnacentral:rRNA from 1 species